GACGAACGCUGGCGGCGUGCUUAACACAUGCAAGUCGAACGCUGAAGCACCAGCUUGCUGGUGUGGAUGAGUGGCGAACGGGUGAGUAAUACGUGAGUAACCUGCCCUUGACUCUGGGAUAAGCCCGGGAAACUGGGUCUAAUACUGGAUGCUACAUGUCACCGCAUGGUGGUGUGUGGAAAGGGUUUACUGGUCUUGGAUGGGCUCACGGCCUAUCAGCUUGUUGGUGAGGUAAUGGCUCAACAAGGCGACGACGGGUAGCCGGCGUGAGAGGGUGACCGGCCACACUGGGACUGAGACACGGCCCAGACUCCUACGGGAGGCAGCAGUGGGGAAUAUUGCUCAAUGGGCGAAAGCCUGAUGCAGCGACGCCGCGUGCGGGAUGACGGCCUUCGGGUUGUAAACCUCUUUCAGCAGGGAAGAAGCCACAAGUGACGGUACCUGCAGAAGAAGCGCCGGCUAACUACGUG
rnacentral:rRNA from 1 species